GUGGGAGCGGCCGCCGGCGGCCACACAAUGGCAUUAUCUCGGGCCAGCGCGCUGCAGGGACCCGCCGCUUCCUGCCCCCGCAUCGCGGCACAGACUGUCCCAGGGCCCACCGCCUUCGGACGCGCUCUCCGGCGCUCCGUCGCCAAGCUCGAGGCGAUUGCUGUCUGAACUGUGGCGUUUGUCUUUCCCGCCUGCUGGACGGAUGUUCUCCCACGUGUUCACUGCUGUGUAAAGGCUGGCGUUGACUCUGAUGAGUCAGUACAAGCUUUUCAAUAUUUUUAAAUGCCACCCUUGCCUGCAUGUUUCCAAGACCAACUGGCUAGAAGAUGCCUGAGGCCCUGUUGCCAGGGAAUUCUCCAACAGUUUAUCCACACGAUCCUUCAGACUUCCAGGUCUGAGUUCCAGGUAGCGUGUGUUGUGUGAUGUGCACUGUGGCAGCGUCCGCAUGGAAACCGACAGAAACAUUUUGAUUCGAAACUUUGGUCUCUAGCAAUAUCUAGGAAUUGUUUUAAAAAGGAAAUAGAUAUAACACAUGGUAACCCUCUUCCUUGAUUUCUUACAAAACUUUUGGUCCGGAGAUCCACUGAGAAUUUGAACUCUGAAUAUAUAUUGCUGUGUUUAAGCACAUAGUACUAAGCACGAUAUUUAGAGAGUUCAUAUUAGAAAGAGCUGUCUUGUAUGGAAGCCAAUUUAGUUAUUUCUACCAUGAGCCAGUCACAUUGAAAGAAAAAUUCCUAGAUCCAUCAGAAAAAUAAUGAAGAUACUUAACUAUAUUAAGACCUUCAUGUUCACUGAAAUAUUUCAUGUGCUUUGUUUCCUAUUGAUUUAAAGGACAUGUUUUGGGACCUCCCUGGCGGUCCAGUGGUUAAGACUCCAUGCUUCCAGUGCAGAGGGCAUGGGUUCGAUCCCUGGUCAGGGAACUAAGAUCCCGCAUGCCGUGGCGUUGCAACCAAGAAAAGAAAAGAUAUGUUUGAAUGUUCACUAGAUGAAGCUUAACUGCUUCUGAAUCCUUAAUUUAAGUUGUAGAUUAUAUUAUUCUC